ACAGCCCCUUCUCGGCUCCGCUUCGUUUGCAAAGGAUUCUACCCGCCGCUCGGUGGGAAUUGUACUUCAAGGCGGCCUGCGCGGCUCUUUCACCGCGAGGGCUUGGCCAACGGCACGUGCCUCCGGGGCCGAGAGGCCCCUACUGCAGGUCGGCAAUCGGACGGCGGGUGCACGCGUCGCGUCUAGCCCGGAUUCUGACUUAGAGGCGUUCAGUCAUAAUC